AUCAAAUUAAAAUAAAAUAAUAAAAUCGGAGUAAAUUUAUAAAUUACGAUAUAAAGCUAUGAAAUAAAUUUAAAUGAGUUCAGGUUGCCUUAAGGCCAGAAUAAAUAGAAAUUUUUCAAAUACAAUUUAGCGUGGUGGUGAGCGGGGUUUUACAGAAAGCCAUUGUAUUUACUCUUAAAAUAUGGUAACACUGUUUGUACGGUCAAACUUUUUAGAUUUAUACUGAUCAUUAAAGUUUGAAGUACCUGUUUUCUCAGCAGGAACUCAACAUGGGAUAGAGGCAUUGCAUAGAUCUGUUGAAAGAUUAUAACU
rnacentral:lncRNA from 1 species